AGUUGGGAAUACCCGAAGCCUGUGAGCUAACGUAAGAGGCAGCAGUCGAAGGCAGAAUCAAUGAUUGGGGUGAAGUCGUAACAAGGUACC
rnacentral:rRNA from 1 species